AGGCGGAGACACGGGCAAUUGC
rnacentral:miRNA from 1 species